ACAACGGUAACUGGUGGUGGGCACGCUGACGCGGCCUUGACCAGUCAUGUCCAUCGACAAGACUAUGAACAAGCCGCCCGAUUACCGAGGCGGCUUUUUU
rnacentral:ncRNA from 1 species